UAUAUCUAAAUGUAUUUUUUCUUACACACAUUUAUAAUUUGAAUUUAAUCAUUACAUAUGAUAUCAUAAGUGAUUUUGAUUCAAAAUUUAAUAACAAUUUUUUUUAAAGCUUGGGCCGCCAAGAUCGGUUGAAGACAGUACCAUUCAGGAUAUAAAUGUUUUGUGGAAACGUGCCUGCUUUCCCUUUGACGAUUUUUGUUAUACAGCAGCAUCAAUAAAUUAUUAUGAUGAGAAAAUAUGUACUCCAGAUGAAAUGUUUCGGAAAAAAAGAUCGCCUAAUCUAAAAUAUGCGAUUGGAUUGAUAGUUAUACAUAAGCAUAAAAUGAAAGAUAUUACACGAAAGUGUAUUGAGAAUGUUGCUGGGGUCAUUAUUGGGUGGCACAACGAAUGCCACAUUGAACGCUUUAAGGAUGAUAGUACAUAUUGUAGUAUUUCGAAUGAUGUUACAGAAAAAUGUAUACAGAAAAAUAACAUCGAUAAUUGGAAAUCGCAACCGCACUACGUUUUGUUAAUCGAGAAUGAUCUGUGUUACGUUCCACAAUGUGCUAUAACAUCAGUAUGCAAAGAAUGGAUAAAUAAUCCAGAAGUUGGAAAAUAUUUCUGUAAAUUUGAAGAUACUCAUUAUGUGCCAAAUAACAUGCUAGGACAGCAUUAUCCAGACGAUGCCGCAGUCGUUCGCGACAUAUUAUUGAAUAAUCGAAAAUUAUAAUAUUGUGAAUGAUGCAGAAGUGUGUGUGUCUGCUCUUUUAUUAGUCCGGAUUGAAAUUCAAAAGAUAUAUUGCAUAUAGAUGCUAUUUUUCGGAAAACAAUAACAAAUCAUAGUAAAUAUCUUGCACAAGAGAGAAAAUCCUGCUAACAUAGCUCGCAUAAGAAGUUCAGGUAGAGAGAUUUAUUAUCUGAGAAAAGGUUCGGAUCAAAAAUAGAGAAUACGUUAAAUUAUUUUACUUAAAAAAAUAUGUAUUAGUAAU